AGUGCAACUGCUGGGUUAUAUGGUAACCUUUUAAGGAAUUGCCAAACUGUUUUCCAAAGGAGCUGUACCAUUUUACAUUCUCACCAGCAGU
rnacentral:pre_miRNA from 1 species